UAAUGUCUAAUCUAUUAAUAAUCAGACAAUGUGCUAUUGUGCGGUUUUUGCUGUUAUGCGAUUUUUGGCAUCUAGAA